rnacentral:lncRNA from 1 species
GGGAAUCUGUGAGCGACCCCAGAGUAAUGGACCUGGACUGCCUCUGGCGCAGGACUGGAUCAGACCAGGGAGCCUCCAGCCAGAGGCUCUUGGCCAGUACUGGAAAAGAGACAUAGAACCAACCUCCGUGCUGGGUCCAAAAAUCUCAGAGCUAAGGAUGAUCGUGGCCUGGAGGCUUGGAAAUCCAAGAUCACCUGACCGCAUCUGGGGAGGGUCUCACGCUGCUUUGACCCACGGUGGAAAACAGAAAGGCCAGUGGAUCCAGGAUUGGUUCCACGGGGCUCCUGAUCUUCAGUCUCACUAUUUGCUAAAUGCAGCGUAGAAAAUCCUAACUUGUAUGCCCUGUGUCCAGCGUUGCCUGGGCCAGCCUCGCUCAUCCGGCUGUGGGUUCACUGACAUGCAAAUUAGGUAGCUCAAAAGGACAAGAAAUGGAAUGAUGCCUGCCUGCCGCCGAGUCUGCCUGCCGUGAAGGACUCGCACACUCUGGGACCAUACGCCCAAAGAAAGCAGCUAUCUUGGAGGAGCAGCUGGACACAGAACAGACAAGACCCACUAGCGUGUCAGCCAGCAUAAACAAGUCUACUAUCAGAUGGACACUGUGUCAUGAGCCAGGGACACCCUACGAUGAGGCAGAUACCACCCCAUCCC